UAGCCGGUUCUAGGCACAUCCGGAUAAAACAUUCGGUUUAGUAACUACAUGGCUUCCAAAUUGUAAAUUUUUUAAAAUUAGUUAAUUUAAAAAUAUUUAUGACCCCUUAAUCUCAUAUCCUGGCUGCAAAGAGCUUGAGUUAAACACUUCAUUUGUUAUGGCAUGUAGAUUAUUGUGAAGGAGAAAGGAAUAUUCACGAACGUGACUUCGCCUACGGCUAAGGCAAAGUUGAGGUUGUUGUUCGAAGUGGCUCCUCUUGGCCUGCUCGUUGAGAAUGCUGGUGGGUUCAGCAGUGAUGGACACAACUCUGUGCUUGACAAGACCAUCGUCAACCUCGACGAUAGAACUCAAGUUGCUUAUGGUUCAAAGAACGAGAUCAUCCGUUUCGAAGAAACCCUUUAUGGAACAUCAAGACUCAAGAAUGUUCCCAUUGGAGUUACUGCUUAGAACCUCAUUUUAAAUAAAAACUGAAAGCAUGUUUUUUUUCCAAAAAAAGGAUAAUGUAUGUACUUUUGCUAUUGGGUUAUAUGAGAAGCAACAAAACUAUUGCCAUUGUUUUAACUAGGUAAGAAACCAUGCAAUAUUGCAUAGAAGCUCAUUUUAUAAAAUAAAAAUAUAUCACGUUUUAUAUAAUUACUUUUGGAAAAUACAUGAAUUACAAAAUUAUGUUGCAUACAGCUAUAUUUCUUUAUUAAUAUUACUAAAAAUCUAUAUUUUAUUUUUAGGUUAGUUGUAAUGAAAUUACAAAGAUGUUAAUACCAAAUAAAAUAUAUGUUUUAUUAUCCGUUUAGCCGAGAUAUUUAGAAAUCUCAAAAACAACUGAAUAUUUGAAACUAAUUAGAAAGUAAACACAUUCUAAUAUAAUCAUUUACUAAAUUAGUAAGGUACAAUGUGGGACCUGAAAUAUAAUUACUGCUUAGAACCUCAUUUAAAAUAAAAACUGAAAGCAUGUUUUUUCUCCAAAAAAAAAAGAAUGUUUAUUUUUCCAUAAAACGGAUAAUGCAUGUACUUUUGCUAUUGGGUUAUAUGAGAAGCAACAAAACUAUUGCCAUUGUUUUA
rnacentral:lncRNA from 1 species